rnacentral:rRNA from 1 species
AGACCCGAAACCCGGUGAUCUAGCCAUGGGCAGGUUGAAGGUUGGGUAACACUAACUGGAGGACCGAACCGACUAAUGUUGAAAAAUUAGCGGAUGACCUGUGGCUGGGGGUGAAAGGCCAAUCAAACCGGGAGAUAGCUGGUUCUCCCCGAAAGCUAUUUAGGUAGCGCCUCGUGAAUUCAUCUCCGGGGGUAGAGCACUGUUUCGGCUAGGGGGCCAUCCCGGCUUACCAACCCGAUGCAAACUGCGAAUACCGGAGAAUGUUAUCACGGGAGACACACGGCGGGUGCUAACGUCCGUCGUGAAGAGGGAAACAACCCAGACCGCCAGCUAAGGUCCCAAAGUCAUGGUUAAGUGGGAAACGAUGUGGGAAGGCCCAGACAGCCAGGAUGUUGGCUUAGAAGCAGCCAUCAUUUAAAGAAAGCGUAAUAGCUCACUGGUCGAGUCGGCCUGCGCGGAAGAUGUAACGGGGCUAAACCAUGCACCGAAGCUGCGGCAGCGACACUCAGGUGUUGUUGGGUAGGGGAGCGUUCUGUAAGCCUGCGAAGGUGGCCUGUGAGGGUUGCUGGAGGUAUCAGAAGUGCGAAUGCUGACAUAAGUAACGAUAAAGCGGGUGAAAAGCCCGCUCGCCGGAAGACCAAGGGUUCCUGUCCAACGUUAAUCGGGGCAGGGUGAGUCGACCCCUAAGGCGAGGCCGAAAGGCGUAGUCGAUGGGAAACGGGUUAAUAUUCCCGUACUUGGUGUUACUGCGAAGGGGGGACGGAGAAGGCUAUGUUGGCCGGGCGACGGUUGUCCCGGUUUAAGCGUGUAGGUGUGUGUUCCAGGUAAAUCCGGUUCACUUUAACACUGAGGCGUGAUGACGAGGCACUACGGUGCUGAAGCAACAAAUGCCCUGCUUCCAGGAAAAGCCUCUAAGCAUCAGGUAACAUCAAAUCGUACCCCAAACCGACACAGGUGGUCAGGUAGAGAAUACCAAGGCGCUUGAGAGAACUCGGGUGAAGGAACUAGGCAAAAUGGUGCCGUAACUUCGGGAGAAGGCACGCUGACAUGUAGGUGAAGUGAUUUACUCAUGGAGCUGAAGUCAGUCGAAGA